GAUGAACGCUAGCGGCAGGCUUAAUACAUGCAAGUCGUGGGGCAGCAGGUUUGUAGCAAUACAGAUGCUGGCGACCGGCAAACGGGUGCGGAACACGUACGCAACCUUCCUUUUACUGGAAGAUAGCCCACCGAAAGGUGGAUUAAUAUUCCAUAACAUAUUGAAAAGGCAUCUUUUUAAUAUUAAAGCUCCGGCGGUAAAAGAUGGGCGUGCGUCUGAUUAGGUAGUUGGCGGGGUAACGGCCCACCAAGCCUACGAUCAGUAGCUGAUGUGAGAGCAUGAUCAGCCACACGGGCACUGAGACACGGGCCCGACUCCUACGGGAGGCAGCAGUAAGGAAUAUUGGUCAAUGGACGCAAGUCUGAACCAGCCAUGCCGCGUGGAGGAUGAAGGUCCUCUGGAUUGUAAACUUCUUUUCUCUGGGACGAAACCCCCGAUUUCUAUCGGGCCUGACGGUACCAGAGGAAUAAGCACCGGCUAACUCCGUG
rnacentral:rRNA from 1 species